AACGAACGCUGGCGGCAGGCUUAACACAUGCAAGUCGAGCGCCCCGCAAGGGGAGCGGCAGACGGGUGAGUAACGCGUGGGAAUCUACCCAUCUCUACGGAAUAACGCAUGGAAACGUGUGCUAAUACCGUAUACGUCCUUCGGGAGAAAGAUUUAUCGGGGAUGGAUGAGCCCGCGUUGGAUUAGCUAGUUGGUGGGGUAAAGGCCUACCAAGGCGACGAUCCAUAGCUGGUCUGAGAGGAUAAUCAGCCACACUGGGACUGAGACACGGCCCAGACUCCUACGGGAGGCAGCAGUGGGGAAUAUUGGACAAUGGGCGCAAGCCUGAUCCAGCCAUGCCGCGUGAGUGAUGAAGGCCCUAGGGUUGUAAAGCUCUUUCACCGGUGAAGAUAAUGACGGUAACCGGAGAAGAAGCCCCGGCUAACUUCGUGCCAGCCGCCGCCGUAAGAC
rnacentral:rRNA from 1 species